AGCAGCCGCGGUAAUUCCAGCUCCAAUAGCGCAUAUUAAAGUUGUUGCAGUUAAAAGCUCGUAGUUGAAUUUCGGGGUUAGCAGGUCGGUCGUGCCAUCGGUAUGAACUGGUCUCGCUGAUCCCUCCCUCUUGAAGAACUGUGAUGCCAUUAAUUUGGUGUCGCAGGGAAUCAGGACUGUUACUUUGAAAAAUUGAGUGUUUAAAGCAGGCUCACGCUUGAAUACAUUAGCAUGGAAUAAUGAAAUAGGACGUUUGAUCCUAUUUUGUUGGUUUCUAGGAUUGACGUAAUGAUUAAUAGGGAUAGUUGGGGGCAUUAGUAUUCAAUUGUCAGAGGUGAAAUUCUUGGAUUUAUUGAAGACUAACUACUGCGAAAGCAUUUGCCAAGGAUGUUUUCAUUAAUCAAGAACGAAAGUUAGGGAUCGAAGACGAUCAGAUACCGUCGUAGUCUUAACCAUAAACUAUGCCGACUAGGGAUCGGAUGAUGUUAAUUUUUAUGUACCC
rnacentral:misc_RNA from 1 species